rnacentral:rRNA from 1 species
AUUGAACGCUGGCGGCAUGCCUUACACAUGCAAGUCGAACGGUAACAGGUUAAGCUGACGAGUGGCGAACGGGUGAGUAAUAUAUCGGAACGUGCCCAGUCGUGGGGGAUAACGUAGCGAAAGCUACGCUAAUACCGCAUACGAUCUACGGAUGAAAGCGGGGGAUCGCAAGACCUCGCGCGAUUGGAGCGGCCGAUAUCAGAUUAGGUUGUUGGUGAGGGAAAAGUAAACCAAGCCUGCGAUCUGUAGCUGGUCUGAGAGGACGAUCAGCGACACUGGAACGGAGACACGGGCCAGACUCCUACGGGAGGCAGCAGUGGGGAAUUUUGGACAAUGGACGCAAGUCUGAUCCAGCAAUGCCGCGUGCAGGACGAAGGCCUUCGGGUUGUAAACUGCUUUUGUACGGAACGAAACGGUGAGCUCUAAUACAGUUUGCUAAUGACGGUACCGUAAGAAUAAGCACCGGCUAACUACGUGCCAGCCGCCGCAGUAA